rnacentral:rRNA from 1 species
AUUGAACGCUGGCGGCAGGCCUAACACAUGCAAGUCGAGCGGUAACAGGGGUAGCUUGCUACCCGCUGACGAGCGGCGACGGGUGAGUAACGCGUGGGAAUCUGCCCUUUUGGCGGGGAUAGCCCGGGGAAACUCGGAUUAAUACCGCAUAACAUCUACGGAUCAAAGGUGGCCUCUUCUUGAAAGCUAUCGCCGAAGGAUGAGCCCGCGUUAGAUUAGCUAGUUGGUAGGGUAAAGGCCUACCAAGGCGACGAUCUAUAGCUGGUCUGAGAGGAUGAUCAGCCACAUCGGGACUGAGACACGGCCCGAACUCCUACGGGAGGCAGCAGUGGGGAAUAUUGGACAAUGGGCGCAAGCCUGAUCCAGCCAUGCCGCGUGUGUGAAGAAGGCUCUAGGGUUGUAAAGCACUUUAAGUUGGGAGGAAGGCUGUAAGGUUAAUACCCUUGCAGAUUGACGUUACCAACAGAAUAAGCACCGGCUAACUCCGUG